rnacentral:rRNA from 1 species
UACGUAGGGUGCAGGCGUUAAUCGGAAUUACUGGGCGUAAAGCGUGCGCAGGCGGUCUUUUAAGUCAGAUGUGAAAUCCCCGGGCUUAACCUGGGAACUGCGUCCGAUACUGGAAGGCUUGAAUCCGGGAGAGGGAUGCGGAAUUCCAGGUGUAGCGGUGAAAUGCGUAGAUAUCUGGAGGAACACCGGUGGCGAAGGCGGCAUCCUGGACCGGUAUUGACGCUGAGGCGCGAAAGCCAGGGGAGCAAACGGG